CGGAGGGGGUUAGCGUUGUUCGGAAUUACUGGGCGUAAAGCGUACGUAGGCGGAUUAAUAAGUUAGAGGUGAAAUCCCAGGGCUCAACCCUGGAACUGCCUUUAAAACUGUUAGUCUUGAGAUCGAGAGAGGUGAGUGGAAUUCCAAGUGUAGAGGUGAAAUUCGUAGAUAUUUGGAGGAACACCAGUGGCGAAGGCGGCUCACUGGCUCGAUACUGACGCUGAGGUACGAAAGUGUGGGGAGCAAACAGGAUUAGAUACCCUGGUAGUCCACACCGUAAACGAUGAAUGCCAGACGUCAGCAAGCAUGCUUGUUGGUGUCACACCUAACGGAUUAAGCAUUCCGCCUGGGGAGUACGGUCGCAAGAUUAAAACUCAAAGGAAUUGACGGGGGCCCGCACAAGCGGUGGAGCAUGUGGUUUAAUUCGACGCAACGCGCAGAACCUUACCAACCCUUGACAUACUUGUCGCGGAUUCCAGAGAUGGAUUCCUUCAGUUCGGCUGGACAAUGUACAGGUGCUGCAUGGCUGUCGUCAGCUCGUGUCGUGAGAUGUUCGGUUAAGUCCGGCAACGAGCGCAACCCACGUCCUUAGUUACCAGCAUUUAGUUGGGUACCCUAAGGAGACUGCCGGUGAUAAGCCGGAGGAAGGUGUGGACGACGUCAAGUCAUCAUGGCCCUUACGGGUUGGGCUACACACGUGCUACAAUGGCAUCUACAGUGAGUUAAUCUCCAAAAGAUGUCUCAGUUCGGAUUGGGGUCUGCAACUCGACCCCAUGAAGUUGGAAUCGCUAGUAAUCGCGGAACAGCAUGCCGCGGUGAAUACGUUCCCGGGCCUUGUACACACCGCCCGUCACACCAUGGGAAUUGGGUCUACCCGAAGGUGGUGCGCCAACUAUUUAUAGAGGCAGCCAACCACGGUAGGUUCAGUGACUGGGGUGAAGUCGUAACAAGGUAGCCGUAGGGGAACCUGCGGCUGGAUCACCUCCUU
rnacentral:rRNA from 1 species